CACUGAAAAAGGCAAACUUGGCGAAAGCUAAGGACGCAAAGCCACGGGUCUAAUGCAACCAAUGCUAUGACAGCCGGGCUGCCAGG
rnacentral:ncRNA from 2 species